CUUCUCUGUCGGCGAGUGGCGAACGGGUGAGUAUAGCAUCGGAACGUGCCAAGUAGUGGGGGAUAACCAAGCGAAAGUUUGGCUAAUACCGCGUAAGCUCUAAGGAGGAAAGUAGGGGACCGCAAGGCCUUACGCUAUUUGAUCGGCCGAUGUCGGAUUAGCUAGUUGGUGAGGUAAUGGCUCACCAAGGCGAUGAUCCGUAGCGGGUCUGAGAGGACGAUCCGCCACACUGGGACUGAGACACGGCCCAGACUCCUACGGGAGGCAGCAGUGGGGAAUUUUGGACAAUGGGGGGAACCCUGAUCCAGCCAUGCCGCGUGUAUGAAGAAGGCCUUAGGGUUGUAAAGUACUUUUGUUAGGGAAGAAAAGCUAGUUUUGAAUAAAGACUAGUGAUGACGGUACCUAAAGAAUAAGCACCGGCUAACUACGUGCCAGCAGCCGCGGUAAUACGUAGGGUGCGAGCGUUAAUCGGAAUUAUUGGGCGUAAAGCGAGUGCAGACGGUUGUUUAAGCCAGAUGUGAAAUCCCCGAGCUUAACUUG
rnacentral:rRNA from 1 species